GAUGAACGCUGGCGGCGUGCUUAACACAUGCAAGUCGAACGGAAAGGCCCAAGCUUGCUUGGGUACUCGAGUGGCGAACGGGUGAGUAACACGUGGGUGAUCUGCCCUGCACUUCGGGAUAAGCCUGGGAAACUGGGUCUAAUACCGGAUAGGACCACUUCUUGGAUGUUGUGGUGGAAAGUUUUUUCGGUGUGGGAUGAGCUCGCGGCCUAUCAGCUUGUUGGUGGGGUAAUGGCCUACCAAGGCGUCGACGGGUAGCCGGCCUGGGAGGGUGUACGGCCACAUUGGGACUGAGGUACGGCCCAGACUCCUACGGGAGGCAGCAGGGGGGAAGAUUGCACAAUGGGCGCAAGCCUGAUGCAGCGACGCCGCGUGGGGGAUGACGGCCUUCGGGUUGUAAACUCCUUUCGCUAGGGACGAAGCGUUUUGUGACGGUACCUGGAGAAGAAGCACCGGCUAACUACGUG
rnacentral:rRNA from 1 species